rnacentral:lncRNA from 1 species
UCCAGGUGGGGAAGCUCAACCAGGACGUGGUGGUGAGAUGUGACACUUCAGAGCAGCACAUCUACUGGACACUGAACGGGGAUGAGGAACCCAUGGCUGAACUGGUGCCUGAGGGCCAGAAGCUCACCAUCGUCGGCUUGGACCUGCCAGCCACUGGCAACUACAGCUGCUGGGCUGGCCCUGGUCACCUGCUGGACACCACCUACGUGGUGCUCAGCAGCACCCGUACGGAGGGGCCUGGCUGGGGGUGAUGGGGUGCAGGGGGUGGGGGGCUGAGGAGCAGGAGAUUCUCACACCCAGCCCAUGGCCAUGAGGAGCAGGAGAUUCUCACGGCCAUGAGGAGCAGGAGGUUCUCAUGGCCAUGAGGAGCAGGAGGUUCUCAUGGCCAUGAGGAGCAGGAGAUUCUCACGGCCAUGAGGAGCAGGAGAUUCUCAUGGCCAUGAGGAGCAGGAGAUUCUCAUGCCCAGCCCAUGGGCAUGAGGAGCAGGAGAUUCUCAUGGGCAUGAGGAGCAGGAGAUUCUCAUGGGCACGAGGAGCAGGAGAUUCUCAUGCCCAGCUCAUGGCCAUGAGGAGCAGGAGAUUCUCAUGGCCAUGAGGAGCAGGAGAUUCUCAUGGCCAUGAGGAGCAGGAGAUUCUCAUGGCCAUGAGGAGCAGGAGAUUCUCAUGCCCAGCCCAUGGCCAUGAGGAGCAGGAGAUUCUCAUGACCAUGAGGAGCAGGAGAUUCUCACACCCAGCCCAUGGCCAUGAGGAGCAGGAGACUCUCAUGCCCAGCCCAAGGCCAUGAGGGCUGUGGGGCCGAGGGGAUCCCCACCAGUGCCAUGCAGGGAGGGGGUCCCACUCCUGGCCUCAUGCAGCCCCUGACCAACCAUCCCUCAACCCCCCAGGCGAGGAGGAGCUCAACGUGUCCUGCCAGGCCGAGUCCUACAACGGCUCCUUCCACUGCUCCUGGCCCGGGCCCCCCUCUGCCAUCUUCCGUGCCCGCCUCAUACGCAGGUGGGUGCCCUGGAACCCCCCAAACCCACCCCAGCACCCCCACCACCCUGCCCUGAGGGUUGCUCACACCUCCCUGCCCACAGCGAUGGCUCCGUGGGGCCGUGGGUACCGGUGACCAGUGAGCAGGACCAGUUCAGCACCAGUUUGGCAGACACUUUGUUCUGCCCCUUCGGAGAGGAGCUGCGCCCGCUGCAGCUGCACCUGGAGGGGCUUUCGGACACCUCCUACCUCAACCUCUCCAGGCAUUUCUUCCUGCGUGACAUCGUGCGUCCUGAGCCGCCCCAGAAGCUGAUCCUGCAGCAGCGAGGGGAGCAGCUCCACCUGGCCUGGGCCCCCCCGGCCUCCUGGCCGCUCCCCAAGUCCUACUUUGCGCUGCUCUACCACCUGCAGUACGAGCUGCACAACGGCAGCCAGGUAAUGGGGGGAUCUCUGCCCCUGUGCGGGCACCCCAUGUGUCCACCCUGUGCCUCUUCCCUUCUUGGGGUGAUCAGUUGUCACCCCUGGGUGUCACCUCUGCUCCCCACAGCGCUGCCGGGCUCGGGGGGUGCUGGUGUCCCCCUCCCCGAGGGUCUCCCCAUGCCAUGCCCUGCUCCUUUUGCAGGUUGAGCAGUUCGUGGAGGGUGUGGAGGAGACGCCGGUGCCGGUGGGAGCGGGGUGGGUGCGGAUCAGCUGCCGGGACCCCUACACCCCCCCGGCCUGGAGCCCCUGGAGCGCCUGGAUGGGCCUCGAUGCACCCCAAUAACGGCGGUUUUGAGGGUGCUGACCCCACAAACCUGCUUUCCCCACAACCCCCAUGCCUUAACAGCUUGGAAAAAGGAUUUUUUUUUUUGC